UACGUAGGGGGCAAGCGUUGUCCGGAAUCAUUGGGCGUAAAGCGCGUGUAGGCGGCUGAGUAAGUCUGCUCUGAAAGCCCAGGGCUCAACCCUGGGAGGCGGGUGGAUACUACUGGACUAGAGUACGGAAGAGGAGAUUGGAAUUCCUGGUGUAGCGGUGAAAUGCGCAGAUAUCAGGAGGAACACCGAUGGCGAAGGCAGAUCUCUGGGCCGUAACUGACGCUGAGGAGCGAAAGCAUGGGGAGCGAACAGG
rnacentral:rRNA from 1 species